rnacentral:rRNA from 1 species
UGUGCCUACUGGACGCAGCAGUGAGGAAUAUUGGUCAAUGGGCUUACGCCUGAACCAGCCAAGUCGCGUGAGGGAAGACGGUCCUAUGGAUUGUAAACCUCUUUUGUCGGGGAGCAAAAGACGCCACGCGUGGCGUUCCGAGAGUACCCGAAGAAAAAGCAUCGGCUAACUCCGUGCCAGCAGCCGCGGUAAUACGGAGGAUGCGAGCGUUAUCCGGAUUUAUUGGGUUUAAAGGGUGCGCAGGCGGAAGAUCAAGUCAGCGGUAAAAUUGAGAGGCUCAACCUCUUCGAGCCGUUGAAACUGGU